AACGCGAAGAACCUUACCUGGUCUUGACAUCCCAGGAACCCUUCAGAGAUGAGGGGGUGCCUUCGGGAACCUGGAGACAGGUGCUGCAUGGCUGUCGUCAGCUCGUGUCGUGAGAUGUUGGGUUAAGUCCCGCAACGAGCGCAACCCUUGUCCUGUGUUGCCAUGCCGAAAGGCGGAACUCGCAGGAGACCGCCAGCGAUAAGCUGGAGGAAGGUGGGGAUGACGUCAAGUCCUCAUGGCCUUUAUGUCCAGGGCUACACACGUGCUACAAUGGACGGUACAAUACGUCGCUAACCCGCGAGGGGGAGCCAAUCGCAAAAAACCGUUCUCAGUUCGGAUUGCAGGCUGCAACUCGCCUGCAUGAAGCUGGAAUCGCUAGUAAUGGCAGAUCAGCACGCUGCCGUGAAUACGUUCCCGGGCCUUGUACCACCGGCUAC
rnacentral:rRNA from 1 species